GAUAUACAUACACAUGGUGUGUGUUUCUGUUUAUCUAAGUCAUUGUGUAUCUGUAUUUCUGUAUGUGUCAGAUAAACAGAAACACACAACGUGUAUCUGUAUAU
rnacentral:miRNA from 1 species